AAUAUUGCACAAUGGGGGAAACCCUGAUCCAGCGACGCCGCGUGCGUGAAUAAGUCUUUCGGUUUGUACAGCUCUAUCCGCAGGGACGAUACUGUCGCUACCUGUCUAAGAAGCCCCGGCUAACUACAUGCCACAAGCCGCGGUAAUACGUAGGGGGCAAGCGUUAUCCGGAUUUACUGGGUGGAAAGGGAGUGUAGACGGUGAUGUAAGGCAGAUGUGAAAGCCCAGGGCUCAACCCUGGGACUGCAUUUGAAACUAUGUUGCUAGAGUGCAGGAGAGGUAAGUGGAAUUCCUAGUGUAGCGGUGAAAUGCGUAGAUAUUAGGAGGAACACCAGUGGCGAAGGCGGCUUACUGGACUGUAACUGACGUUGAGGCUCGAAAGCGUGGGGAGCAAACA
rnacentral:rRNA from 1 species